rnacentral:rRNA from 1 species
UACGUAGGGUGCGAGCGUUAAUCGGAAUUACUGGGCGUAAAGCGUGCGCAGGCGGUUUUGUGAGUCCGACGUGAAAUCCCCGGGCUCAACCUGGGAACUGCAUUUGUGACUGCACAGCUUGAGUGCGGCAGAGGGGGAUGGAAUUCCGCGUGUAGCAGUGAAAUGCGUAGAUAUGCGGAGGAACACCGAUGGCGAAGGCAAUCCCCUGGGCCUGCACUGACGCUCAUGCACGAAAGCGUGGGGAGCAAACAGG